rnacentral:rRNA from 1 species
GACGAACGCUGGCGGCGUGCUUAACACAUGCAAGUCGAACGGAAAGGCCCUUUCGGGGGUACUCGAGUCGCGAACGGGUGAGUAACACGUGGGCAACCUGCCCUCAGCUCUGGGAUAACUCCGGGAAACCGGGGCUAAUACUGGAUAUUCACUGCUCAUCGCAUGGUGGGUGGUGGAAAGUUUUUCGGCUGGGGAUGGGCCCGCGGCCUAUCAGCUUGUUGGUGGGGUGAUGGCCUACCAAGGCGACGACGGGUAGCCGGCCUGAGAGGGCGACCGGCCACACUGGGACUGGGAAACGGCCCAGACUCCUACGGGAGGCAGCAGUGGGGAAUAUUGCGCAAUGGGCGGGAGCCUGACGCAGCGACGCCGCGUGAGGGAUGACGGCCUUCGGGUUGUAAACCUCUUUCAGCUCUGACGAAGCGAGAGCGACGGUAGGAGCAGAAGAAGCACCGGCCAACUACGUGCCAGCCGCCGCCGUAAUAC